GUUUGAAUGGUCGCAUCAUGGCGGCACAUCCUCUUGGGCGACUUUAACUCGCCCGCCAAUGUGGCAGUGCGCCCAUGUUUGAAUGAUCGCAUCAUGGCGGCUCGUCCUCUUGGGAGACUUUAAAAUCUCCAGCCAAUGAGGCAAGGCACCCAUGUUUGAACGGUCGCAUCAUGGUGGCUCGUCCUCUUGGGCGACUUUAAAUCUUUCACCAAUGAGGCAGUAGCCCCCAGGACCUGGUUAUCUUUCCUGUAAUGACCCGGGGUUCUUGAAUUGUUCAGCCUAGUUGAAUCUGCUGAGCCAUGUCUGUGUAGCCCCUCAGUCUUAAGUCGACUCAAGGAGGCGGCUUGAGAGUCUCCAUACUUGACUGUGGCAUAAGCCGGCGUAAGGUUGACGGCUCAAUGAUGG
rnacentral:lncRNA from 1 species